rnacentral:rRNA from 1 species
GAUGAACGCUGGCGGCGUGCCUAAUACAUGCAAGUCGAACGAAACUUCUUUAUCACCGAGUGCUUGCACUCACCGAUAAAGAGUUGAGUGGCGAACGGGUGAGUAACACGUGGGCAACCUGCCCAAAAGAGGGGGAUAACACUUGGAAACAGGUGCUAAUACCGCAUAACCAUAGUUACCGCAUGGUAACUAUGUAAAAGGUGGCUAUACUACCGCUUUUGGAUGGGCCCGCGGCGCUUUAGCUAGGUGGUAGGGUAAAGGCUUACCAAGGCAAUGAUGCGUAGCCGAAGUGAGAGGUGGAUCGGCCACAUUGGGACUGAGACACGGCCAAAGCGCCUACGGGAGGCAGCAGUAGGGGAUCUUCCACAAUGGGCGAAAGCCUGAUGGAGCAACGCCGCGUGGGUGAAGAAGGUGUUCGGAUCGUAAAACCCUGUUGUUAGAGAAGAAAGUGCGUGAGAGUAACUGUUCACGUUUCGACGGUAUCUAACCAGAAAGCCACGGCUAACUACGUG